GUCUAUGGACACACCACCCUAACUGUGCCAGAUCUUGUCUGGUCUUGGAAGCUAAGCAGAGUUGGUCCUGGUUUAGUACUAAGAUGGGAGAGCCAGGGUUGGGGUGACUAUGGCCC
rnacentral:rRNA from 1 species